rnacentral:lncRNA from 1 species
AAUUGCUCGAAACAAGCGAGAACCUACAUGAAUGCUACGGAAAUAUCGCUCCAAGCCUCAGCUUUCUCAGUGUCCGCUUACAUCAUCGAGCUAAAUUCAUUUCCAAUUUCAAAUGCACAUUUAUAUUUUUAAAUUAUAUUUCACAGUUAUGGCCUUACAUUCUCAUGGAAUUCAAUUUACUAAGUUUUAAUCAUGAGGAUUUUUAGCUCAAGGGAAAAUAAAGAAUAGUGAUCUCACGGGAGAAAAUGCUGUAGUUAGGAUUCUGGAAUCUAUUCCUAUUUUAUACUUAAAACCCUAAAUCUUAUUCAUCCAUCAUCAAGUCAAAUGCAAGAUCUAUGUGAGACUUAUUUUAAAUGUUGAACAGAUUGGUAUUUAGAAUCAUUGAAUUGUUUGAGGAAUUUGUAAUUGCUCGUUUCCAUCAGUUUUAACUGGAACCACAUCAUUAUUUUUUCCUCUGCUAAACAUAUUAUGUGAAUAUUAGUGGUAAUGAUAGCAUCUCCAGAAAGUUGAAACUUUAACAGACUUCUUAAGACAAGUUCAGACAUUAUUUAAAUAUUCAAUUUGCUUAGUGACGGUGUUCCACUUUUACUUGAACUCAUCUCUAAAAAUUUGAUCAAAUUAAAACUAGGUACAUUUUGAUCAACUAGAGCCUGUAUUUACCAUGAAAUUUCAAGUGGGCUUAGUUCCUUAUUUAAUGAUUUUUAUCCUUUCAUAUCGCAUUUAUUUUACAGUUAGUUUUUACUCAAGUUGUGAAAUGGGUUGUCAUGCCAGUGAUAUUAUCUAUUUUAAUCAUUGCAGUAUUUUUAUUCUUCUACCUACCUUCUAUGAAUAAUUCAAGGUCACUGCCAGUGCUUUUAUAUUUUAUGCUCCAAAAUUUCUGUGCCACUGCUCGCUCAAAAAAUGUUUUUAGCUUUCUCAGGUGUCAGAACAUUCCAAAAAAUCAUUGGGGAUCAGUAAUAAACAUGAAGUGUCUGAUAUUAUUUUUCCCGUCCUGGAAAAUGAUUUUGGCCUUUUCCUGUUCCGUUCUUGUUACCCUUGAGCAGACCUUUUCACCUAUCAGUCCUUUUGGACACUCAAGUUUUAAUUAAGUAAGGGAAUAAUUAAGGAGAUAUAAUUUAAGCUGAUGAAAUUCAUGUGUCUUAUUAAGCCCAGACUAUUUGAACAAGCUUGAUAUAAGAUCUAAUUUUAGAAAUUAGGUGCUCUCUUGAAAGCUGCUAUUAUUUUUUUGUUUUUUUCAAUUUUUCUCUCUUUUCCGAGUAUUUCAAGAUAUCAUCCAUCUCAAAACUGGUCGAAUCUCUGUCUAUUAUCCUCUGGUCAAAUUGACAAGAGCAAAAUACUCAGCAUCUACUUUAAGAUAGUGCUUAGUAUUUAAAUAUGUAAAAUUAUUUCAAUUGACUACAAGUCUUUUUCUAUUAUGUGCUCUGUUAAAAACAAUUAUUUUGUUCUAUCAUUGUUAGAUGUUCUUCUCCUAUCUUUUUUCAUUUAUUUUAUAUUCAGCUUUUUAUUUCUUGUUAUCUGUGCUUAAAAACAUCACAGGGAAAUUUUCGUUAAAGCUUGUCAAAAAGUAUUCUAUUCCGUUAGUCAUAGUUGUAUCAAAAAAUAAAUCAGCUUGUCUCAAAGACCCAAUGAUUUGUUUUACCUUUACUUUGAUAUUUACCUAAUCCUUUGAAUAUGACACCAAAUUUUGAUUGAAAGCACUCAUUUAGAGGUUCUAGGUGAGCGGUAUGUGUACUUAUGUACUUUUAACUAGCUUUUGAGUUGAGUGAAUUGCAGAAUGCCAAAUGAGAAUUGAAAAAUGCCAUUAUAGUUCACAACAGAUCUCAUUUACAACAUCUUCAUCAUUAUCUAACCAAGAAAACCCGUUUAUUUUCUCUGAAUGCCGUCUGUUUAGAACUGGAGGUUGUAAUUUUUAAGUAGCGAGGAGUUCUGUUGGAAAUUGACAUUAGUUUGCAAAAUGAUGAUUAGAGAAAAGAGGCAUUAAAUACCUAUAUUUGGAUAAUUUUUAAUAAUGCAAAGUAAACAAGAGAGUUAUGGAUUUUUUUUUUCUUUUCUUUUUUUCUCUUUUUUUUACCAAUUUUAGUGAAUAUCUUCUCUCAGAUAUUAGACAAUUCACAGUGAUGGGAAAUGAAUAUUAUUAAAUCAAACAGUCCUGAAUGGACAACUGAAGUAUUGUCACAAUAGUCGUUGUUGCAUAAAACUUUAGGUAUUAGAGGUGUAAUUGAAGGGAAUAAAGGAAAGUAGUCACAUUUAAUGUGCAGUGUUGCAAAAUCUCAUCUUUUAUUAUAAUGUUUUGGACCAAACCAUCAAAUUUGAUUAAACCAACCAUCAUUUUUGUUAAAAUUUUGUAAAAUAACCCUCAUAAGUAUGGGUAAGAAAAAGUGUAACCAUUUUUGAGUGGGGUUGUUGACUCGUUUCCUUCCAAAAAAUUAAAAUAGGAGGUGAGAUUUUGAAAUACGUAAAUGCUGAUGUGACUGUUUAGCUCAUAUUUAUUCAAUUUUGUCAAACAAUUCAUAUCAGUAUUUCCAACAUAUCUCUUGGAGCAGGAAUUUUUAUUUUUCGUGUCUUUGUUGAAAGGAUCAUCCUUUUUAAGAUCCUCCUUUGCCAGUCAAUCAGCCGAAGUUUAUAUCAACAUGCCGUAGAUCCUCUCACAGGAAAUACACCCUAGCUUGUCCGAAUUUGACACUAUCUUACAAUAAUGACGAAUGAUACUUAUUAAUGGAACACAAUAAUGUAUUUCCCUUGGAGAAUACAUUCAAAUGCUAGAUUCAUGAAAUACUUCAGUCCGUGGAAAAAUGAUAUCAGAUUGUUAGAAUGAUGCUGUUUUUCCCCUAUCUGAGCUCAUCAGGUACCCAAGUAGCACUGAUUGCAAUAAAUAGCAAUCACCUAGUAAAAAUAUUGCAAUUCAACUGUGAGUGUAGUGGAUGUUGCCUAGCUCCUAUUUGAAGGGGCCCCAUUUAUUGAAACUUAUUGCAAUAAAAUUGAAAUAAGUUGUCAUUUUCAUUGCAUUGCAUAUUGCCGACCUUUCUGACAUUUUGAUGAUUGUUUAAAAUCGACAUAAAUCGACUAAAUCAUAUAAAAUAUUGCAAUUUGAUGGUAAAAAAAUUACAAUGGUAUUGAAAUCAAAUUGCAAAAAUUUAAUUUCAAUAUUUUCGUUGCACUGUGCUACUUGGGUAGGUAUAUUUUUGUCACAAGAAUAUGUAGCAUAUAAACAGGCUAAACGUUCGUAAUAUUCCACCUGCCGUUAAAUGGUGAGGGAGGGGGGGGGGAUGCACUCCAAGUGCGCUAUCAAUUAUUAUGAUAAAAGCUCGAGCAUUCCUCCCGCAUGCACCUGGCCAUGGUGAAAGUGGUCGGUGGAUUUCUCAUCACUCAAUACUGCUCAUUCGAAGCUUUGUUUGUGAUUUAUGAACACUCCCAUCGUCAUUAUCAUCAUCAUUAAUAUUAACUUCGAAGGAUUUCUUUUUUUCAUUCAUUCCACCUUUUAUUCCACUCCGGCGUUGCCAGAUUGUGCGAUAAAUGUGAAUAUUCUACAUGGGUUUGAAAUCGUCAUCAUCAUUCAUAUAGACUUCGAAGGUUUUCACUUUUUCAUCU